rnacentral:rRNA from 1 species
UACGUAGGGUGCAAGCGUUAAUCGGAAUUACUGGGCGUAAAGCGUGCGCAGGCGGUUGUGCAAGACAGAUGUGAAAAUCCCCGGGCUCAACCUGGGAAUUGCAUUUGUGACUGCACGGCUAGAGUGUGUCAGAGGGGGGUAGGAAGUUACCACGUGUAGCAGUGAAAUGCGUAGAGAGUGUGGAGGAAUACCGAUGGCGAAGGCAGCCCCCUGGGA